UGGAUAUUUUAAAGUUGGAUUUUAAUAUACAUUAUAUUUUAAUAUAUAUUUAUUUUAAAUAUGCAUUUAUUAUAAAAUAUACAUAUAUAUUUGUGUGUGUGUGUGUGUGUGUGUGUGUGUGUGGUGGUGGUGGUGCUGGGGAUUGAACUCAGGGCCUUGUGCGGGCACCCUAUCAACUGAGCUAUAUCUCCAG
rnacentral:sRNA from 1 species